rnacentral:rRNA from 1 species
AUUGAACGCUGGCGGCAUGCCUUACACAUGCAAGUCGAACGGUAACAGGUCUUCGGAUGCUGACGAGUGGCGAACGGGUGAGUAAUACAUCGGAACGUGCCUAGUAGUGGGGGAUAACUACUCGAAAGAGUGGCUAAUACCGCAUGAGAUCUACGGAUGAAAGCAGGGGAUCGCAAGACCUUGUGCUACUAGAGCGGCCGAUGGCAGAUUAGGGAGUUGGUGGGAUAAAAGCUUACCAAGCCGACGAUCUGUAGCUGGUCUGAGAGGACGAUCAGCCACACUGGGACUGAGACACGGCCCCGACUCCUACGGGAGGCAGCAGUGGGGAAUUUUGGACAAUGGGCGCAAGCCUGAUCCAGCAAUGCCGCGUGCAGGAUGAAGGCCUUCGGGUUGUAAACUGCUUUUGUACGGAACGAAAAGCCCUGGGUUAAUACCCUGGGGUCAUGACGGUACCGUAAGAAUAAGCACCGGCUAACUACGUGCCAGCAGCCGCCGCUGUAA